GCCUUCGGGACAGCGGAAGAGCAGUGUCGCGCCAUGGCCAGGGCCCGCAGGCUGGAGCUGGCCGAGGCUCUGGCGCUGGGGCCAGGCUGGAGGCAUGCCUGCUAUGCGCUCCUGCACGCGCCGGACCCUGGAAUUCUCUUUGGCCGCCUCCCUCUGCGCUACGCCAUACUGAUGCAGAUGCGCUUCGAUGGGCGCCUGGGCUUCCCUGGCGGAUUCGUGGACUCGCAAGACAGCAGCCUGGAGGACGGGCUGAACCGUGGUCUGCUGGAACAGCUGGGCGAGGCGGCGGCCGCCUUCCGCGUGGAGCGCCCUGACUACCGCAGCUCCCACGCCGGAUCAGGGCCACGCGUUGUGGCCCACUUCUAUUCCAAGUCUCUGACGCUCGAGCAGCUGUCGGCUGUGGAGGCCAGCGCAACAGGCGCCAAGGACCACGGGCUGGAGGUGCUGGGCCUGGUGCGAGUGCCCCUGUAUACCCUGCAUGAUGGUGUGGGAGGCCUGCCCAUCUUUCUGGAGAAUUGCUUUAUUGGUGCUGCCCGGGAGCAGUUACUGGAUACCCUCCAGGACUUGGGAGUGGUGGAAGCUGGUGCUUUCUCAGGCCUUCAGAUCCCAGUUCGUCUGAGGCAACCCUCUGUGGACUCAGGGAACCUGAGAUGAGGACUUUGGUACAAGGAAGGGAAUGUUUUCUCUUCUGGAUCUAAAGAUGAUACCAAAUUAAACGAAGACAUGUAUAUCAUAUGUUUUGAGCAGAGGACCUUCCAAAUCAUGGGAUCAGGGGCAAAAAUCCACAGCUCAUCCCAGGGGCCCUGGCAGGUUCUCAGAGCCUACCCCUUCCUUGUACAUUUGCACACAGCCUUGUAACCACCAGGCAUGCAUAUGUACAAUGUGACCACACACAGCCUGACAUCUUUCACCUAUCAAGUCCAAUUUAACCAGGAAUUGGCAUUUGUUACCAUACCCUGCCUCUUGCUUUGCAGAGAGCUUCUACAGCAAGGGUGAGUCCUUCCCACAGUCCUCCAUGGCUGCUCUUUAGGGUCUAGCCCAGCCCAUGUUUUUUGGGAAGGAUAGAGAAGCAGAGGACCCUCUUUGCUUUACUGAAAGUAGCCAUGCCCUUGCUGGAGGGUUCACCACAGCAAUUGGUGGGAGAGGGUCUUAACCGAUCUCCAACACUUUUCUUCUCCUGAAACUGAGAAGGGGUAAGGAAGUAGCUAGGUCCCCUUGGACGGAGCAUAGACGUGAGACCUGUGAGUACUGGUGUCUCUCCUUCAGAGCUUUCAUCUUUGGUUCGCUGUAGACUCUGGGACUAUCAGAAGAGAACUGACCCAUACCUGUCUAGCCCUGCCCUGCCAAAAAAAGAGCCUCCCAUUAAAGAGGAGUUAGAGCUGGGCCUUGAGGCUCUUCACUUCUUUCAACAGAUAUUUAAUACGUACCUACUAAAUGCCAGGUACUAUAAAAGGUAUAGAGAGCCAUCCUUGCUCUCCAAGACUCCAGGGAAGGGAUGGGCAAACAUUUUCUUAAAAGCCAGAUAGCAAAUAUUUUAAGCUUUGUAAACUACAUAGUUUUUAAAAAAAUAUUUUCUAACAUUGACUAAUAAAAAUUGCCUAUGUUUACUGUGUACAAAAUGAUGCUUUCAAAUAUGUAUACAUUAUAGCGUGGCUAAAUUGAGCUAACUAACAUAUGCAUUACCUCACAUAUUUAUCAUUUUUCAUGGUAAGAACACAAAAUUUACUCUUAGCAAUUUUCACAAAUAUAAUGCAGUUUAUUAACUGUAGUCACCAUUUGUGCAACAGAUCUUUUGAACUUAUUUCUCCUAACUGAAGUUUUAUAUUCUUUGAUUAAUAUCUUCUCAAUUACUGUUCCCUACCCCCAACCCCUGGUAACCAUUAUUUUACUCUCUGUUUCUAUGUGUUUAACUUUUUUAGAUGCCAUAUAUAAGUGAGGUCAUUUGGUGUUUUCACCUGGCUUAUUUCAUUUAACAUGUCAUCUAGGUUAAUCCAUAUUGUCACAAAUGACAGGAUUUCCUUCUAUUUUAAGGCCAAAUAGUAUUCCAUUGUGUAUAUAUACCACAUUUUCUUUAUUCAUUUAUCUGUUGAUCUACACUUAGGUUGAUUCCACAUCUUGGCUAUUGUGAAUAGUGUUGCAGUGAACAUGGGAGUGCAGAUAUCUCUCCAGAUCCUAAUUUCAAUUCCUUUGAAUAAAUAUCCUGUAAUAGGA
rnacentral:sRNA from 1 species